GCCAGGCAUGGUGAUGCACGCCUGUCAUCCCAGCUACUCAAGAGGCCGAGAUGGGAGGAUUGCUUGAGCCUAGGAGUUCGAGGCUGCAGUGAGCCGAAAUCAUGCCACUGCACUCCAGCCUGGGCAACAGAGCAAGACCCUGUCUCAA
ensembl:misc_RNA Metazoa_SRP Metazoan signal recognition particle RNA